GCAGAGCGAAGGGCCGGGAACAGCGGAGGGUGUGAGGAAGACAAUGGGGAGGACCCCGAGGCGGCCUCUGCGCCGACAGGAACACGUAGUCGAUCAGAGAGAGACUCGAGGUUCGUGAAAGGAUGGGGAGGACCCUGAAAAGCACAGUGGAAUACAGGUUUCUAGUAACUUCAAAAUCACAUCAUUUGGACUGGCAUGAUGAGCCACCUGAGGCCAGGUACAGCCAUGGCGUGUAUGCCAGAGCACCUGCGAGAAUGUCUCACAGGCAGUCUGUCUCUCCUGAAUGUGAAGGGAUGGGCACCAGCCGGAGCCACCAUCCGUGUGACUGGCCUGUGACCGCCUCCAGCUCACACAAAACCUCUGCACGCAAUGGAAAAAGGCCUCCCCUGGGUGAAUGGGGUGGGAAACGUAUGCCUCUCCAGGUGGCUGGUGAGCAGAGUGCUCCCCUCGGCAGGGUGUGACUUGUACAGCUCCGCUAGGGGCCCUGUGACAAGACAGGCUUCGCCCCUGCCCUCUUGCAGCUCGUAUGUAUGAGGGGCAGCCCAAUAAAUAAAGAAGCAAA